rnacentral:lncRNA from 10 species
AUCUGAGCUUACACUUCAACUUAAAAGCAAUACAUUCUAUGAAUGUAAGAAGCAUGGUAAACAAAUGGCAUCAGACAAUACUUACUGGUGAUUGAAGAAACUGCCCAUGGGAUCAUAACAGAAGCCCCGGUGAUAGUCUUCUCAGAUUGAACCACAGCACUAAUGGAGAUUACCAAAAUUUAUAGGAUAAGAUUACUGAAAUUUCUAUGUUGUUUUAUCCCAUUGAAAUCAAUGGAAAGCAAAGGACAGGAAAGAGCCAAACAGACAAUUUUCCCCUCUCAUCUCUAUGAUAUGGUCCCUCCUUACAGUUCUUCUGGAAAAGUCCAGAGUGCCAAGCAAAUAUACUGACUCUGGGGUCCUGCUGUGCUGCAUCGUGGCUCAUUGUGAACCAGUGGUCAAUCCAGGAGGCCAUCUCCAUAGAUACUUUGCAUCAUUUCCUUUCCCUCCCCUUCACCACUGGGGACUUACACUUCCCAAAUAAAAUAUCAACAAUUCAAUCCAUAUCCCUGCAUUCUAGACGCUUAGCACACUCCCAUGACCCACAUGCUGGUGAGGAUGUUGAGUUCAUGUGAAGCCUUGGUAAUUUUG